rnacentral:tRNA from 1 species
GUCAGCUUAGUAUAGGUGGGUAGUACGUGAGAUUGUAAAUUUCGAGGUGAUAUAUAUCAGUUGAAA